AGAGAGAGACAUGCGCGCAUAUCAAUAAGCGGAGGAAAAGAAACUAACAAGGAUUCCCUUAGUAACGGCGAGUGAAGCGGGAAGAGCUCAAAUUUGAAAUCUUCAAGGUUUUACCUUGACGAAUUGUAGUUUAAAGAAGUGUUUUCUGCUGAAGUUUUGGUAAAAGUUCUUUGGAAUAGGACAUCAUAGAGGGUGAGAAUCCCGUAUUUGACCAUUAUUUUCAGCUUUGUGAUACACUUUCAAAGAGUCGGAUUGUUUGGGAAUGCAGUCCAAAAUGGGUGGUAAAUUUCAUCUAAAGCUAAAUAUUGGCGAGAGGACCGAUAGCGAACAAGUACCGUGAGGGAAAGAUGAAAAGAACUUUGAAAAGAGAGUUAAACAGUACGUGAAAUUGUCAAAGGGAAGCGUUUGACACCAGUGUUGUUUUCUCGAAAAUCAAUUAAAAAUGGCUCGAUUUUGUAUUGCUUGAGACCUUAAAAGCUCACUGUACAUUUUUCGUGUCUUUUUUAAUGCACUUUUCGUUUAACAAGUCAACAUCAGUUUCUUUUGUUGUAAAAGGGUCAUUGGAAGGUGGCUUUCUUUUCGGAGAAAGUGUUUAUAGCCUUUGGCCUCUGCAAUCGGAGAGACUGAGGUCUGCAGCGUAGACUCUUCGGGGUUAGAUACACUUGUGCUAAGUUAUAGCUUUUUAUAGACAACUUGUUGACUAUAAUUAGUCUUGUAGCUUACUCGCUUAUGCUAUUUUACCUACGCUUAGGAUGUUGAAGAUGUAGCACAUCAU
rnacentral:rRNA from 1 species